rnacentral:sRNA from 1 species
UCCUCUUUCCCAUAGAUCUACUUCUCUUCCCUUUCCCUCCAGAAAAGAGCAAGACUUAGAGGACUAUCAACCCAAAAUGGCCUAAGAAGUUGCAGUAAGACCAGGCACAAACCUUCACAUCAAGGAUAGAUGAGGAAGAGGAUUCCAAAGCAGCAUCAACUAAACAAGAGGAGAUGGAAGGGAGAAUGACAUCGAGACCUUGGCACAGGCUCUGCCUUAUACCCCUGGAGCUCAUUUUGGAGUCUAAUUAGACCGGAGUGACCUUGUCUAUUGACCCAGGAGUAGAGGAACACAGAAGUGAAAUGCAGAUUUGUCCUCAAGGCAGAAAAAGAUUGCCACAAGUGUCUACACGAAACAUUGCAGUCUACAGUCUCAGCAGUCUGAGUGGUGAGCUGGGGUUACCUGCUUUGAAAUAUUUUUUCUGGUUUACUUUUGUUAGAGGAAAGUUCAUUCAUGCU